UUUUUUUUUUUUUUUUUUUGGUUUUUUGGGCCCAACCUGCUGCAUAUGGAAGUUCCCAGGCUAAGGGUUAAAUCAGAGCUGCAGCUGCCGGCCCAAAGCACGGCCACAGCAACGCCAGAUCUGAGCAAUGUCUGUGACCUACACCACAGUUCCCAGCAAUGCCAGGUAACUAACCCACUGAAGCCAGGGAUCGAACCCACCUUCUCAAGGAUCCUAGUCAGGUUUUUAACCCGCUGAGCCACAACAGGAACUCCCUGUAGGUACUAACUCUUAAACCUCGCAACACCCCUAUGAAAUAAGAACUAUUUUUGUCCCUUGGGUGAGGAAACCGGGGCCAGACAGAUUAUGGGACUUGCUCAAGGUCCCGGGGCUGGAGAGAGCAGGGCUCAGGGAAAGGCAGGCCCCCUGGUCCUGAGACCACACUGCUGAGCUCAUGCCGCAGGGCCCGCUAGCCAGCCGCGAGAGGUGGAGAAGGACCUCCCCUGGGGCCACCAGGUUAUAGGUCUGUGGCACUAGCACAGAGCCCGCCCCCACGCCCCCUGAAGACUACCUGCCCCCCACCCCAUCACCUUGGCUCUCUUGCCCUCUUUUCUGGUACAAGGCCUCCCAAUGCCUUUCUUCAGGCUGCUGUCCUGGGACACAGCAGGGGGCAGUGCUCUGGCUUCAGGGGACCAGGUUCUAUCUUCAGCAUGUCAGCUGAAUGACUACUAUGAGGCUCCAAGACAUGCUUGUGUUAGAAAGAGACUCAGCAGGGCCCAAGUCCUUGUACUAGGUCCCCGGACACCCUGAUUUCUGCAUCCCCUGGGCUGAGCCCGCUCACCCGCUCCAGCGCCUCUCCUCGCACUUCUCUCCUUAUCGGCCUUCGAACCCUCGUUCUUCGUCUGCCACUUUGGACUCUCUUUACUCUGCCUGCCUGUUCUCAGGGAAUAAAGUGGAAUCGAUCCGGUGAAUUCACAAAGAAGGCGAAUCUCAAUUCUGUUUAAAACCUGGGGUGGUGAGGUGGAGGGUAGCUGGGGGGGGGGUGCCUGGGGUCUGGGAUCCUGCCCAAAGUCUACAGCUGGCCACCAGCCAUGAGGUCUUGGGCAAGAGAGGACCAGCUCUGGACUCAGCACUCAACUCCAAAAAAUGGGCUGAGGGUCAUCAAGAGGUUAGGAGCGUGACACUAGUUAGCAUUCUGCUUGUAAAACGCGAAGCACGGCUGCUGCGUCGUAAACCAUAAGUGAUCCUUGUCACCUAUGAACAAACUAAUGGAGCCUGGGCUGUGGCAGGUGUCUGUAGGAAAGGAACUGCUGAAAGGCUCUGCCUCUCCCAGUGCUUUUCAUGUCGGCUGGUUGUUAAUUAAUCUGCUUUGUUUUUUUGUUUUUUUGUUUUUUUAGGGCUGCACGUGGAGCAUAUGGAGGUUCCCAGGCUAGGGGUUUAAUCAGAGCUGUAGCCGCCGGCCUACGCCACAGCCACAGCAAUGUGGGAUCCGAGCCGCAUCUGCGACCUACACCACAGCUCACGGCAAUGCUGGAUCCUUCACCCACUGAGCAAGGCCAGGGAUCGAACCUGCAUCCUCAUGGAUGCUAGUCGGGUUCAUUAACCACUGAGCCAUGACGGGAACUCCUUAAUUAACUAACCUGCUUUUACCUGUUGUUGCAAGAACAGGCUGUGAUAAUAAGGGGUUUGCAAUCCUACUCUUUACCUUUUGUGGAUGUUUCAGUGUUUUCAAAAUAAAACAUCUUUUAAAUCCUAGGAUUGUGUGAUAGAAAUGUAUUAUCUGCUCUCUAGAAACUUAUAUUUUGAAAUUUAUAUAUUAAGAUUAGUCAAUUAGAAAUAGAAGGUGGGAAAUAGGAUCCAGAAGAAAGUGGAAGUAGUUACCACCACUUUAUGAAAACUCUUUUUCUUAGGGCCACACCCACAGCAUAUGGAAGUUUCUAGGCUAGGGGUAGAGUUGGAGCUGCAGCUGCCAGCCUGCACUGAAAGCAGCUCACAGCAAUACCAGAUCCUUAACACACCAAGCAAGGCCAGGAAUCGAACCCGAGUCCUCAUGGAUACUAGUCAGGUUCAUUACCGCUGAGCCACCGCGGGAACUUCUUCAUGAAAACUUUUAGAGAAAGACCAACCUGAGCCCAAAUCCCGGCUGGUCCACUCAUGGAUUUGGUGCCUUUGGAUAAUUUACUAACUCUUCUGCUAUGUGUUUCGUUCCUUUUUGGAGUCAGAUGAUUAAUCCCUGCUGCCAGGAUUGCAUGAGGUUUAAAGGAGAUGACAUGUGUCAUCCCCAACCAGCCAUACACUAGCCCCUCUUUCCUCUUGUCACAGUGGAGUAUCGAGAUGGGGAGGAAGUGGAGCUGAGGUGGGGGUGGGGGAGGAAAAAACUCAAGGCUGAGAAUAUGAGUUUUGAGGAUUUGGUGAGAAAUUGGUCUUGCACCUUCUUUUGAAAUGGGCUCAAAGCAAAAUGGUGCAGCAGGUUGAAGGAGAGUCUGGGCUGCCUUUCCUCCUUGGCCCAUGAGCUCAGGCCCCCCCUCACACAGGGCCCCAGAGGAGGGACUGAGAUUCAUUCUUUCAUACAGACAGGCAAAUUUCAGUCUUCAAAUAUCAUGACUUGUAAGAAAAUCUGCCUUUAAACUACUUAAUCCAAAGAAUAAACUCUCAAGAGUUGAAUUUCAGCAGGCAACAUAGAGGAAAGAGUUUGUUUUGGGGGGAUGAGGACGGAAGGGAGGAGAGUCAAGGAAAGGCCUUCCUGGUGUCCCUGAAAUCAUGGCGCUUAAAUGCCAAUGUCUUUUUAUUCCGUCCAUGGGAUAGUAAAGUCCGUGGGAUGAACACACGGGGACAGAAGAAGCUCUCCUUUGGCACGGCUCCCCCUCUGGAGCUGACCCUGCUGGACAGCGGGAGAUCCUGCCCCAACCCAGCCCAGCAAGAAAAGGAGCAGGGGCUUCUGCCAAAUCUACAGGUGCAGGGGGCUGUGCCUGAGGACGAAAGAGAGAGGGAGGAGGCAGUCUAAAAGGGCUGGGUAUCAUAGAGCUAUCAUGUCACCUCAUUCAGCCUCACCAUGCACCAGGAGGAAGAGAGCAUGACGCAUGGUAAACAAGGCUUAGCCUAAACUAGGCCACAUGCCAACAUCACACAGCUAGCCAUCAGGAGUGCCAGGAACCGAGCCCAAGUCUACCUGCCACCAAAGCGCCACACGAGACUGCAGCUGUGGAAGCUGAGAGGAGAACUGGGAGUCUCCCUCUGUCUCCAUGGUGACCAAGUCCACCUCAGGGAUCACAGUAACGCUGCAUGUGUCGUGUGCGGCCACCUGCCCCGUGAGGUCAGCUGCCCACAGAGCAGCCCUUGUCCUGGCUCCAUGCUCUUCCUGUGUCUGGUGAGGCAAAGGGCUGGGGCCAGCGCCAUUACGCUCACUGCUAUACUUCCUCUACGAUUCUGUUUUCAAACAAUCAGCUCUGACUGUGCCCUCAGACCUGUCCCCCAGGAGGCCAUGUUCUGGCCUGUCCUGGCUGACAGCCGGCCUGGCCUCGCCAGCUGUCUGCAGGAAGACUGAUGUUUCAUGUCCUUCCUGCCGGCUCUCUCCUCCUCCAACCUCCCCUGCCGUGGGCCCCAGGCACAAUGCCUGCUGUGCCUGUUGCUCUGUUUUCUACUCCUCUCUCUGGAGCUUGGUUUCCUCUCUGGUGAAAAGACAGAAGGCUGCUUCCUACUGGCCCGUGCAGGGCACUUGUCUUGGUGAGUGUAGAGAAGGAAGAGGAGGCAGAAGGGAAGGUAGGCAGAGACGAGGCCGUCCAGCCCUGACCUUGGGAGAGACACUGGAGAGCAACGCUUUCUCUUAAGGACUGUUGAUGGAAUAAAUAGGACAUAAAUAACCUGAGUCAAGAAAAGUGAUCAGGACAGGAGGAAAGAGCGACUGCCCCAUCCUGGAGCUCUGGGUGCCCAAGGUGAGAGCUGGAGGAAACCUGGCAGGAGAAAGGGAAGAGAGGAGCUGAAAGGCAAGCCAUGGGGAUACAGGUUAGGAAGCAGAAGUACCACCUAAACUUUAUUUUUCUCCCCAUGGAAGGUGGCAGCAGCAGCCCCAGCGGUUUGA
rnacentral:lncRNA from 1 species